rnacentral:tRNA from 1 species
GGUUGUGGCUCAGCGGUACAGCACUUGCUUAACACGUGCAAGGCCCUGGGUUCUAUUCUCAGCACCA